rnacentral:rRNA from 1 species
AUUGAACGCUGGCGGCAGGCCUAACACAUGCAAGUCGAGCGAGCGGCGGACGGGGGAGUGAUGUCUGGGAGACUGCCUGAGGGAGGGGGGUAACUACUGGAAAAGGUAGCUAAUACCGCAUACCAUCAGAUGUGCCCAGAUGGGAUUAGCUAGUAGGUGGGGUAAAGGCUCACCUAGGCGACGAUCCCUAGCUGGUCUGAGAGGAGGACCAGCCACACUGGAACUGUGACACGGUCCAGACUCCUACGGGAGGCAGCAGUGGGGAAUAUUGCACAAUGGGCGCAAGCCUGAUGCAGCCAUGCCGCGUGUGUGAAGAAGGCCUUCGGGUUGUAAAGUACUUUCAGCGGGGAGGCGUUACCCGCAGAAGAAGCACCGGCUAACUCCGUGCCAGCCGCCGCGGUAAUUC